CCAUAAAUGCCUUCACUGUAAAAAAAGCCAAGCGUCAUAGUCGCCAUUGUCCAUCUUUCUUUUCUACUGAAGAGUGAAGAUCUUAUUUUCACAGCACAUUCAUCUGUUAAAUUAAUAAUUAGGUUUGUCGUAACAAAAAAGUUUGUGCUUUUGGCCUAUCAGUACAGCAGGCAGUGUGGAAAUAUUUUAAGCGACACAGCAUCUUUUCCAAUUUUGUAGGUUUGUCGUAACCCAAAAGUCCUUUUGGCCAAUCACCAGAUCAGCCAAGUGUAAAAGACAUCAUGUUCUUCGAAGACCCAGGUAGCACACAGACUCUGUUUCAGGUCUGUUACAGAUCUGUUUUUGAGAGUCUGUAAAUUGUUUGUAGUGUCCCACUUUUACAGACUGUCACACAGGUCUGUGACAGACCUGACUUACAAAAUCUGUAUAACAGGUUUGUUACAGACCUGACUUACAAAAUCUGUAUAACAGGUUUGUUACAUAACGCGUACCACAGUCUUUGUACUACCAACUGUUUACAGAUCCGUCGUUUCAAUAAUACAAGUAUACAACUCACGCGA
rnacentral:lncRNA from 1 species